CCUACGGGAGGCAGCAGUGGGGAAUUUUGGACAAUGGGGGCAACCCUGAUCCAGCAAUGCCGCGUGAGUGAAGAAGGCCUUCGGGUUGUAAAGCUCUUUUGUCAGGGAAGAAACGGUAGUAGCGAAUAACUAUUACUAAUGACGGUACCUGAAGAAUAAGCACCGGCUAACUACGUGCCAGCAGCCGCGGUAAUACGUAGGGUGCAAGCGUUAAUCGGAAUUACUGGGCGUAAAGCGUGCGCAGGCGGUUGUGUAAGUCAGAUGUGAAAUCCCCGGGCUCAACCUGGGAAUUGCAUUUGAGACUGCACGGCUAGAGUGUGUCAGAGGGGGGUAGAAUUCCACGUGUAGCAGUGAAAUGCGUAGAUAUGUGGAGGAAUACCGAUGGCGAAGGCAGCCCCCUGGGAUAACACUGACGCUCAUGCACGAAAGCGUGGGGAGCA
rnacentral:rRNA from 1 species